rnacentral:misc_RNA from 1 species
CAGCCGUUGAAGUACAUGCUCCAGGAA